rnacentral:rRNA from 1 species
CCUACGGGAGGCUGCAGUAGGGAAUUUUCGGCAAUGGGGGGAACCCUGACCGAGCAACGCCGCGUGAACGAAGAAGUUAUUCGUAAUGUAAAGUUCUUUUAACAGGGAAGAAAGAGAAAUUUGACGGUACCUGAAGAAUAAGCUCCGGCUAACUACGUGCCAGCAGCCGCGGUAAUACGUAGGGAGCGAGCGUUAUCCGGAAUUAUUGGGGGAAAGGGGUGCGUAGAUGGCAUAGUAAGUCUUUGGUAAAAAUGCUGGCCCCAACCCUGUAGGGCAAAAGAUACUGCAAAGCUAGAGUAUGGCAGAGGCAAGUGGAACUACUGGUGUAGCGGUAAAAUGCGUAGAUAUAUGUAGGAACACCAGUGGCGAAGGCGGCUUGCUGGGUCGAUACUGACAUUGAGGCACGAAAGCGUGGGGAGCAAACAGGAUUAGAUACCCCGGUAGUC